rnacentral:rRNA from 1 species
AUUGAACGCUGGCGGCAGGCCUAACACAUGCAAGUCGAACGAGUGGCGGAAGGGUGAGCAAUGUCCGGGAAACGGACUGCUGGAGGGGGAUAACUACUGGAAACGGUAGUUAUAACCGCAUACACGCGGAUGUGUCCAGAUGGGAUUAGCGAGUAGGUGGGGUAAAGGGUCACCCAGGCGACGAUCCCUAGCUGGUCUCAGAGGAUGACCAGACAAACUGGAACUGAGACACGGGCCAGACUCCUACGGGGGGCAGCAGUGGGGAAUAGUGCACAAUGGGCGCAAGCCUGAUGCAGCCAGGCAGAGUGUAGGAAGAAGGCCUUCGGGUUGUAAAGUACUUUCAGCGGGGAGGCGUUACCCGCAGAAGAAGCACCGGCUAACUCCGUGCCAGCAGCCGCGGUAAUUC